ensembl:misc_RNA Metazoa_SRP Metazoan signal recognition particle RNA
CUGGCAUGGUGGUGUGCACCUGUACUCCCAGCUACUUAGGAGAUUGAGGCAGGAGAAUCGCUUGAGCCCAGACAUUCUGUGCUACAGUGUGCUUGUGUUAUGCAGAUUGUAUGUCUGCAGUAUGCGAAUUGGAUGUCUGCAUUAAGUUUGGCAUCAAUAUGGUGAUGUCCCAAGAGCUGGGGACCGCCAGGGUGCCUAAGGAAGAGUGAGUCAGCGCAGGUCAGAAACAAAGCAGAUCAAAACUCUCAUGCUCAUCAGUAGUGGGAUCGUGCCUGUGAAUAGCCACUGCACUCCAACCUGGGCAACAUAGCAAGACUUUGUCUCA